rnacentral:piRNA from 1 species
UGAAUGAGCUUACAACAUUUG